rfam:Tetranychus urticae London genomic scaffold, scaffold_5
AAAACGGCCCUUAUCAGGGCCAAAUACUUAUUUGUUAAAAGAUUGU